UCUAAACGUUGGCUUUAUACACAACUCCUGGGAUAGUAGGAAUCUGUCCUUUACUUUAUAUGAGGAAUGCUGGAUCUGAACAGAGAUGAAAUAGUGCUCAUACUUGAGACUGUAUAAAAUUAGUUACAUCUUGUAUGCCAGGGUGUGUGUGUGUGUGCAUACUUACAUCAGCAUGUGGUUGAAUGGUUGCUUUAUGGAAUUCAGUGUGUUUAUGACAAUUCCACUUUGUAAAUGUAUUCAGCAUAUUCUGAACAAAGGUGAGAUGGUGGGGUCGAUUUGGAGAUGCUACUAGUAAUUCCCUUUCACCCAGACAGGGAUGAUCAAUUAUCAAGCAAAAAGCCUUGAAGCAGCACCACUGUGCUUUGCUUGAAGGCAGCGUUCUUUGUCUAAAGGCUGGAAUGCAGCUGUUGAUUCAUGCCUCCCCCUUUCCCCCUUCCCCCAUGUUGCUUUUCUGGCUUCUGCCCAAAUUCUCCUGCAUUUCUUUCUUGCAAAGGGGAGUGAGGCGGCCCCAUUGGCCUGAGCAAGACUGGGAUAUUAAGGAAAGGGUGGGGGUGGGCUGCAGACCAGGACUGGGAGGCAUUACCUGUGUUAGAGAGGAAACCUGAUCCGAGAUCAAAGGAGAAUAAGGGCGAUGGGAGAUUUCUCAGUAGAACCAGUGUGGGGUAUGUGUGGGGGAGAGGUAGGAGGAGGGUUUUAUAGUUUGUAUUUGGAAUUGGUUUCAGAGGGAAGAAACAGCAAAAUCUUUUAUUGAAUAUUCCUUGCCUUAUGCAAUUCAUGGGGUCAGCAUAAGGCAACAGACCACUCAAAAGCCCAUACACACACAGGCCCAUUCACUGAAAGGGACAAUCGAAUCCAGAGUCCCACAGCAAGUCUGGAAGACCAAUUCUUUGCUCAUGCCCUCUAGAAGAUGUGUAUUCAAACUCACUUAAUAGGGAUUCGUUUUGGAUUGCUGCCUGAUUUAACAGGCUUUGCUACUGUGCCACAAGAAUUAAACAAAUUGAGCUUUCCCCCAGCUUGGAAGACCAACCCUUCACCGAAUGUCCUUGGUGGGCGUUUCUGAGGGUGCAUCUACACCAGGCCUGGGCCAACUUGCGCUCUCCCUCCAGGUAUUUUGGAUUUCAACUCCCACCAUUGCUAACAGCCUCAGGCCCCUUCCUUUUUUCCCUAAGCCACUUAAGCUUGAAGCUGGCCUUGAAGCUGGCAAGGCCAUUAAGGCUGAUCAAGGUGAUUAAUUACAACAUUCACACUGGCCUCCAACAGAGUUCUUUCUCCCACACUGGACCUUCCAGAGAUAUAUAAACCUCCCUUGCUUAGGUGGGGACGAGAGAAAGGGCCUUCUCUGUGGUGGCCCCCCGGCUCUGGAACUCGCUCCCCAGGGAAAUCAGGCAAGCCCCCACCCUGGCAGCAUUCAGAAAGAGCUUGAAAACCUGGCUCUUUACUCAGGCCUUUAGAUAAAGAUUGCUCAUCCCCAUAGCAAUCUGUAUCUGUGACAAUUCUUGUACUGGUUUGCACUUUUUACCUUUGUCAACUUGAUAUAGGCACAGGGUCUAUUCCCAUCCCAAUUUGCACUUCCAAGAAUUUGCAGCACUUUAUCAGUCACCUCGUGUUUACAAUAUUUAUAUGGUGCACCUUACCCAGUCUACUUUUACAACCUCCCCGUUUUAAUCCAUGUUUUUAUUAGUUCUUGUCAUUUGUUUUUAUUGGCUAAUGUUUAAAUUUUUAUAAUUGUGCAUGUUUUUUGUCUACUGUUGUGUUUUAUAUUGCUAUUGUUUUUAUUUGGGCUUGGCCCCAUGUAAGCCGCCCUGAGUCCCCUUUGGGGAGAUAGAGGCGGGGUAUAAAAAUAAAGUUAUUAUUAUUAUAUUAUUAUAUACCUCAUAACCUCUGAGGAUGCCUGCCACAAAUGUGGGCGAAACGUCAGGAGAGAAUGCUUCUAGAACAUGGCCAUACAGCACCGAAAACUCACAGCAACCCAGAACCCAUGCCGUUGGUAUUACUGUAUAUAUUAUUCGCGAGGUUUUAAGCACUGGCGAGGCAUUCCCCCUCCUCUCCCCUCUCGGGGGUGGGAUGGGGUUGGUUUUUCCACCGCCCACGACCCGAGAGGGGCCUGGAAGGCGCCUGGGCGCGGGAGGAAGGGAAGAAGGCGGCUGCAGCGGGGCCUCCGGGCCUUUCCCUCCCUCCCUUCCUUCCCGCACCAGUCCCUUUGUCUGAAGAUCCCUCCCUUUGUCCAAGGCGACGAGCGGGGAGCCGCGCGCUAAGCCCAGCCAGAGCUGGGAGGGGAGGGGCGGGGGCGCUGCAGAGGGAGCACCACCCGCCCACUCAGGGCCACGCUCCCUGCGCGCCCUGGCCCUUUAAGAGGGAGCCCUCUCCGCUCGCCCCCUCCCUCCGCUUCCCCUCGCGAUCUAUUUUGGCCCGCUUUCCUUCCCGCCUUCCCGUUCCGCCUCUGGAGCCAGGAAAUUCCCCGCUUCCGCCCGAGCCAGGCAGGCGGAGGCCUGUGCGUCGCCGCAGAGGAAUGCGGGCCCAAGCCCCGGCCUGCCCUCGCCCUGCCCCCCUUCGCCUCCCGGCGACGCCCUGACCUACAUUUCCCGCUCCUCCAAACCCCUUCGCAGGCAAGAAGGCGUGCAUGUCCUCUGCGUCGCGCCAUUGCCACCUUGGCUCAACAAAUCUGGCAUUUUAACCUGUAUCAGCCGGAGAAUAGCAUCCUUUUCCUAUCGCCCUGCCCUGAUUCUGCCUGCUAAGGUCAAAGGGGAGGGAGGCGGGCAGCGCUUGCAGCCCAUGCCGCCCGGCUGAGGUCCAGGCCCCGUGAAGGUGGCGCCGGGCGAGGCGGAAGAACAACACCCCUGCGGGAUUCUGGCCAUCCGGUGUUUGUCUUAAAUUGCUUGGCCUGGCAAUACUAUGGAACUUUUUUCUACGUAGUCUGUGGACAGAAGCAACAGCUGGUAUCCCGAUGGGGGGCCUAAACCUUCUCUAAAUGAUACAGUUUCCGGGAGCUGAGAUUUAUCUGAGUCAUUGACAGAGAAAACAGAGGUUGCCUGAUUGUUGACUGCUGUGUUUGUUUGGUUUUUUCGAAAUCCAUAAGAACUUGUUGGGAUGGAACGAAGGUUGCAAGAUGAACUUUGGAUAUGCUCUGAGGGAAACCAGGCAGCAACUGUCCCAAGUACCAACCAGUGUCCCGUCUUCUUCAGUCUUACGAGUUAGUAUUUUUGACCCCCUUGCCUUUUAAAACUUCAUAAGCAUUGUGGACCCUGCUCACCUCAUGUUUACUGCUGUCGUUUAUUAGACGUUUGCCAAGCUCCCUGUUGCUCCAAGCUGGCUGGCAGCAUGCCCAGGCUGAGAAGUGCAAGAGCCGCCCUGCGAGAGACAAGGAAGAGUCGGCGCUUUCUCAGGGGCCCCUCCCUACGCCUGCACCCAUGAGUGUCUGGCAAGGGCACUCUAGUAGUGUGGGAAGGAGAAGGUGGAGACGGUUGGGUUGUCUUCAGGCAACAAGGGCAUGGCCUAAGAUGGAAGGAAACUAUGCAAAAUCAAAGCAUUUUCUCCCAUUCAAGGACAGUCGGUCAGAACAGCAAUAAAUUGAAUAGAAAACCCUAUCCAGUAGAAAGAAAUUCUGAAUAUUUAACUCCUUCAGAUGUUUCUGGAAGAUAUUCAAGUUCCUCCCAGAAGCUUUAAAAGUCCUGUUACUCUCAGUAGACAUUUUAGCGAUAUAGGGUUUCUUUUAUUCCAUAAUUUUUAAAGCAAUUUAAAUUAUUGAGACAAAGAGACAUCCACAACUUCUACUUUCUUCUUGCCCCUUAUCCAUUCUUUGGAGCCCCCAGUGGCACAGUGGGUUAAACCCUUGUGCUGGCAGGACUGAUGACUUGAAGGUUGGGUUGCUAGCCAGGUUGUCAGUUCGAAUCCAACCCGGGGAGAGCGCGGAUGAGCUCCUCUAUCAGCUCCAGCUCCAUGCAGGGACAUGAGAAAAGCCUCCCACAAGGAUGGUAAAAACAUCCGGGCAUGCCCUGGGCAACAUCCUUGCAGACGGCCAAUUCUCUCACGCCAGAAACUACUUGCAAUUUCUGAAGUUGCUCCUGACACACGCAAAAAAUCAAUUACUUUUAAAAAGUUAAAAAGGCCUACCAGCAAGACAGCCAAGGUUAGAAUCCCAGCUUCCAUUAGACAAUGAUUUUUUAAAAUUAUCUUCCAGCGGCUUCUGUCUUCUCAAAAGAUGAAGAUGGAAGUGUGAUUGAAUUGUGUCUUCUCUCUCCAUCUAGCUCUGUAUUUUGCUAUUCAUAGCUGGAGACAUCAUUCAACUUCUGCGGGUUAGAGUAAGAUUAACUAGUGGGACACAAAUCCUGGCCAUUCGAAGAAGGGAUUGUUCCCUCACUGUUGUCCCUGUUUUGAUGUGGAGUUCCUUGGAAGUGGAGUACUGUGCUGAGCUGUCUAAGGGGUUGUGCGUAGGUUUGGACGUAAGACAUUGAAUAUCAGCAUUUUCAUUUUAUGAUGAAAAUUAAAACCACAUUAAUAGUUUGCUGCACACCGAGCCUGCUCAAAAAAUGAGUAAUGGUUAAGGAUAGAUAAACAAUUAAAGUGCAUAAAUUACAACUUGUGCAAUCAUUGUAUAAAGCAUUACAGAUGUGAGAGAAAACUGUCCAUGUAUAAAAUGUAACACUUGUCUGUUUGCUUCAUGCAGUGUGUGUGUGUGUGUAAUCUGUUAUUCAUUCAGUACAUUAUGGUGGAAAAGUAAUGGAAAGAUAAUUGCUUUCAUUUGCUGUUUUCAAAAUCUAAGUUGUUCAGUGUGUGUAAGUUUAGCUGUGUAUGUAUAUCAUUAAUAAUUUUAAAUACAAAACAUGGAUUUAAAGGGGAUACGUGACUAGUAGGAAGUUUAGAGUCUGGAAAGUGUGUGGGCUUCAAGCCCUUUCUUAAUAUUACCCCACUAGAUUUUGUCCCCAAGGGACACAGGAUAGCAGAAACAUAACACCAGCAGGAGUCCUAGCUUCUAGCAUAACCUGCUCUAGCUGUGCGUUUAUGCAGCCUGUCUACCAAGCAGUUUCCCAUGGGUGCUCAUUAUUCCAAGGUGUGGCCAUAAUUGCUUGGGCUGGAGCAUUUUAAUGAGGAUGUCUGGCUGCUCCCUGCCUAUGAUACUAUUCAGUAGUAAUUCCACAUGCUGAGAACUGGAGUAAUUGUGGGAUUCUAGCCUGUUCUGACAACAUGGCAUGAGAAGAACAGCAAGGACACACCUACUCAGGUUGAAAGAGACUGGACAAAAGGAUAGCCACUCUCAAUAAAAAUCUUAAGCAACCCCUGUAACAUCCAGACUUGUAGGUAUAUCACAAAAAGCUAGGACCAAGACGCAGCUGAAGUACAGGAUACACUGGCUUCUCUGAGCAGAGAGGAGGAAUUACGCUUAAAGAUCAGGGAAUAAACAUAACAUUCCACACUCUGUUGACUUACAUGUAUCACUCAAAAUUGAUAAUGAAUUAAAGGACAACCACUGGUUUCAUUUACCAGUCCAAGGGUCUGGAGAAUGGGCAAGGGAUCUCAUCUAAACUAAAGCCCUUGCUUUUGAGCAAGAGAUCGAAUUAUAGGGUAGCAAUAUAAAACAACCAAGUUGUAUGUAUUUUCAAGGAUCAAUAGUCAAAACGCCUUUUUGGUGAAUGCCUUGCACAUUUCCCGUUUGUUUUGGUGGUGGGUGUGCUUUCAAUAAAUAGCCAAUCUGUGGAAACCCAAAGGUAAACCUG